AUCCAGCACGUGGGUCACUCGAUCCACCGCACGCUGGCCGCGCAGCUCAAGUACGCGCUGGUGUGGGGCACCAGCACCAAGUACUCGCCGCAGCGCGUCGGCAUCGCGCACACCGUCCACGACGAGGACGUGGUGCAGCUCAUCAAGAAGUAAUUAAUUUUGCGGGCACAUCUAAAUAAACUAGCCUGUUUUCGGACCUUCUGAUAUCGAUGUGUGGUAUGUAUCUACAUUACUAUAAGUUUCUUAUGAGUUAUCAGCUGCCUAUUAUAUACUUUCAUCUGUGGGUUGUCAUGCUAAUUGAUUAUGAAUCCAUGUUCGAUAAAUCAAUCAAUGUCAACUAAUGUUUGAGGGCCAUUUUAUUUAACGUUGUAAGUUAUACGGUUUCUAGAUAUUUGAUUUUAGGUAUUUCUAUGUUAGCUCUUAUAAACUCGCACAUUUAUGUAGCAAAUAGGCCACAAGGGCCCUGUUACACGUCAAGAUGCAAUUUACAUACAAGGAGAAAACAAGUGCCCCCAUGAUUUUUAUUUCCAUUCCGUUGCCCUUUACUAUAGAAUUCGUGUGCCGGUAACUGUAACAGAAUGGAAUAACUCAAACACUACUCAAAUCUAAAUCAAAGUGUAGUGUAUAACUUUAUUAAAAUUGUCCUAAAUAGAUCUUUUUAGGGUUCCCCUAGUUUAGUGUCCCACUGUUGGGUAAAAGGCCUCCCCUCCUUUCCGCCACUCAGCCCUGUCGUAUGUAAGAAAAAAAAACGUGAUUGGGAUCAUUUUGUAUGAUAUUUCUGGUUUCAAGUGGAUAAUGUAUAUUUGUUUUUUUUUAGCAUAUUGGCUGAUAGCAAUUAAGAAACCGGUAGUACUGUAUAUCUCGAGUAAAUACAGAAUAUGUCACUAUCACUAUUGUUCUGUAUAUACAGUCGCCAUCAGAUAUAUCGGAGCGGCCAAGGUGCUCACAAGUAUCUGAGCACGCCUCUAUUGUCAGGGCGUUAGAGUACGUGUUCAGAUAUUGUGAACACCUUGGCCGCUCCGAUAUAUCUGAUGGCGACUGUACCUACUACGGCACGCCUAAAGGUAUAAAUUGUAGUCAGAUUGUGUUAUUUUGGUUAACAGAAAUUGUAUAACUAGAUUGGACGCAAUAUCAUUAUGCCUUUGACAACUUUUACAGCAAUAAUGCUAUUAUUUUUAUAUAAAUUAUAAAAUUAGUCAACGCUAUGCGACUUUUGGGCGGUUUUAGUUGAAAUGUUUAUUCAUUGUUAUAAAACUUAAAGCAAUGUAACUUGGUGACUUUAAUUUAUUAAAAAUCUGGCAUCUGAAAUGCUAUCUUGUAAUGAUCAUUUUAUUUUAAUAGUUAAGAGCCUGACCAUGCUAAAAGGCUGCCUUUCUACUGACGCGGAGAUGAGAAUAUAAUACAAUACAAUAGCAUUGUUUCUCUUCUCCGCUUCCCCGGAUUAAGAAUAAGAAGAAAUACAAUUCUGUAACAUCUUAAAUAACAAUCUUAAUAAAAUGACACAUAACACAAAUUAGGUAGACAAACUAGAUGCUAAACAGGAUCCCCACUCAGCAUAAUGCCACGGCAAGCCAUGUUAGCAACUAAGCUAAACCUAAACUAAAACUGAGUGACAACACACACGUCAAUCAUAGCCUCCUAAGGCCCAGCCAUACAAAUGAAAAAUUCAGAAUUUGUCACUGAUAUUUGAACCUAUAGUUCAGGGGAUAGAGUUGAUUAUAGUUUUGUUUGAAAAUUGAACGAAUCAAAACAAAUGCAACUCUAUUCCAAUUGAAUAUGAUUUAAAUUUCAUCGAACUGAAUAUGUACUAUAGGUAGCACCUUAGGCCUUAUAGUUAGGGAGGCGAAUAGGGGAAUUUUUUGCAAUACUCGAGCGUGGCAGUUUAAGAUAUGAGAGAUACCUUAGACCUAAUAGAACAACCUUGUAAAGUAUUUAGCUCUAUAUGUAGUGACGCGCGCCUAGGAUAGACGAUCAGAUUAGUAAAAAAAAAUGGAUAGUCUGAAAUACUCGAGCGCGUCAGAUUAAGAUAUUGGGGGUUGAUUUUAGUGUUUAAAGACUAAAUUUAACUAAUCUGACGAUAAGUCCUUGACGCCGCCGAGUUAUAGGGUCGCGAACUUGUAAAAAAAAAACGUUAAUCCGGUAUUCUCGAGCGCGAUUUUUUUAUUUUUUAUUUUGAAGAAUAUAAUCUAAAACUUACUAAAAAUACAAAAUCUGCCGGUUUCCGCAUGACCGGAAGUGUGGAGGAGCCAUUUCGUCUUCCUAAGAACGCGUUGCGGCAUAUAAUAAGUCGCGAACGAUACAUUUUACAAAAAAAAAGUUUAAAUAAACAAAAAAGGUAAUUUUAUUUUACACAAAAAAGGUCUCUUUACAUUUUUGUCCAAAGUUAAAACUUUUUGACUUGAAGCAUCAUAAAAUCGGUCAGAUUAAGAGAACCCACCAACAUUUUUGUCAGAUUAAAAAAAUAUGCUUUCAGGAUACCGAGAUAAACCUCCCCUAUGAAAAUCUGACGCGCUCGAGUAUUUCAAAAAAACUUUUUUUUUUUGCAUUUUCAAAAAUUCAUCGUAACUUAUCGUCACGCCGAAAUCGUCAGUUUUUUUAAAGGAAGCUUCCUUGGGGCCUACUUAACACCCCUUCCGAAAAUCAGACGCGCCCGAGUAAAUUUUUUUUUUUGCAUUUUUGACUACUUUAUAUGCCUACCCCCACCACGCAAACCGGCAGAUUAGUAUACCGUUGUUAUCAGAGGCACUCGGGGCAUACGUAGUAUGAAUAUCUGACGCGCUCGAGAAUGCCCAAGUAACUGUUUUUUUUAACAUUUUUGAAAAACCGUACACGCCAAACCCACCGCUAAAAUGGUUUUUGCCAUACGAGCUUUUCUUUUCGAAAUUAUUUUAUCUUUCGAUUUUGAUAGGUCUCGACGGCGCCGUUGAAUUACGCCAUUUAGCUACCUCGCCUCCCUAACCAUUAGGAGGAUAGAUUACAAAAUACCAACACAAUAAAAGAGGGAAACUACAAAAUGUAAUUAACACAUGAAAUUACAACCAAUGCUAUUUGUUGAUUCUUCCACGUCUCCUCUCAUCUCUGACUCAGUGGAAAGGCAGCCUAAGAGCAUUUUAACAUUUUCGAUCGGAUAGAAGUAAAAUGUAUGUCGUAUGUUUUUUUAUGUAUUCAUUUAAUAAAUCUGCUAUUUAUCUGCAGCUGACUGUACAUUAGCGUCUUGAUAAUAGAGACUUUGUUCAGAUAUUUGUGAACACCUUGGUCGCUCCGAUAUACACGGUGGCAAAAAAAAACUGCAUUCUCGUUGCCAGGGAGGCUUUGGGAUCAUAAUGAGCAACUUUUACUAUGGGACCAACCACGAAAUCGCGAAAAAUAAAUUUGGCUGUUUCAUUCAUUCUGGCUGGUCCAUUUUCUAUGGGGGGGUAAUUUUUUUUAUCGCGAUUUCGGGGUUGGUUCCAUAGUAAAAGUUACACAGUAUAAUCACAAAAUCUACCUGGCAACGGUAAUGCAGUUAUUUUUAAGCCACCCUGUAUAAGUAUCUGACUGACCGAUAUAUACUCGUAUCGUAUGCAAGACCUAUCAGUUUCCACAAUGGCUAUUAACCUUUUGAACGCCAAACGGCGCAUCUAAAUUCCGUGCCACUGACGCCAGGGGGGUAAAAUUUAGUUUUGUGAAUAAAUAAUGCCAACCUAAAAGUGGGGUCAUGGUAUAAUAAUAUACUCCGCCUGGUACUCUCUUCCCGUCUUUUCUAGGUCACCUGACUGACACAAGCCUACGUCAUCAUGCGACAGCGCUAUAUGAUAAUAUGCGAUAGCGCUAUAUAUAGCGGCCAUGUUAGUGUGACGUAGGCCUGUGUCACUCUGGGAAGAGAAGACCAUGUUUUAUUAGACUAUGAGUGGGGUGUUUUGCAUUAGAUUUUCAUCAAAAAACGAACGACGUCAAAUGCCGCCUUUGGCGUCGUUGUCACGAUUUUGCGUUGACGUCAAUUGCCGUCUGUGGCGUUCAAAAGGUUAAAAAUUAAAACACUGAGUCGAGUUCUAAAAGACUAGAGUGUUUAUCUACACUAAGUUUAUCGUCAUAUGAAUCCAACGCAAGCAAUAAAAACAAUCACGACUGUUCAAGAGUUAUCAUUGUUGUAUAUACUCAAUUAUAAUUUUGCAAUGGAAUAAAUAGUUUUUUAAAAGUG